rnacentral:tRNA from 1 species
CAUUAAGAAGCUAUUAGCGCUAGCCUUUUAAGCUAGAGAUUGGGAACCGCCUUCCCCUUAGUGA